rnacentral:rRNA from 1 species
GAUGAACGUUGGCGGUGUGCCUAAUACAUGCAAGUCGAACGGAGACUGUAGCAAUACUGUCUUAGUGGCGAACGGGUGAGUAACGCGUUGGUGAUCUGCCUCGAAGUGUGGAAUAACCUCCCGAAAGGGAAGCUAAUACCGCAUAGUCUCUCAAGGUUUAGAAAAUUGAGAGUAAAGGAUUUAUUCGCUUCGAGAGGAGCCUGCGUCCCAUCAGCUAGUUGGUAGGGUAACGGCCUACCAAGGCAAUGACGGGUAGGGGACCUGAGAGGAUGGCCGGCCACACUGGAACUGAGACACGGUCCAGACUCCUACGGGAGGCAGCAGUGGGGAAUAUUGGGCAAGUGGGGGAGACCCUGACCCAGCGACGCCGCGUGAGGGACGAAGGUUUCGGAUCGUAAACCUCUGUUGUACGGGAAGAAGGAAUUGACGGUACCGUACGAGUAAGCCCCGGCAAACUACGUGCCAGCAGCCGCGGUAAAACGUGCGUG